rnacentral:rRNA from 1 species
UCGCCUGUUUAACAAAAACAUGUCUUUUUGAAUUUUUUUUAAAGUCUAGCCUGCCCACUGAAUUUUUUUAAAUGGCCGCAGUAUACUGACUGUGCAAAGGUAGCAUAAUCAUUAGUCUUUUAAUUGAAGGCUGGUAUGAAUGGUUGGACGAGAUAUUAACUGUUUCAUAAAAAUUUAUAGUAGAAUUUUAUUUUUUAGUCAAAAAGCUAAAAUUUAUUUAAAAGACGAGAAGACCCUAUAAAUCUUUAUAUUUAGGUUAUUAUAAUUGUAUAGAUUUUUUUUGUUAUAAUAAUUAAUAAUAUUUUAUUGGGGUGAUAUUAAAAUUUAAUGAACUUUUAAUUAUUAAAAACAUUAAUUUAUGAAUAAUUGAUCCAUUAUUAGUGAUUAAAAAAAUAAGUUACUUUAGGGAUAACAGCGUAAUUUUUUUGGAGAGUUCAUAUCGAUAAAAAAGAUUGCGACCUCGAUGUUGGAUUAAGAUAUAAUUUUAGGUGUAGUAGCUUAAAUUUUAAGUCUGUUCGACUUUUAAAUUCUUACGUGAUCUGAGUUCAGACCGGA